CCACUGCCUGUCCUGAUCCCACCAGGCCUACUGCUCAUUUGAUAAACCAAUUCACCGGCACAUCAUAGGGUCAGAAGGUGAUACUGUUGGGGAGGGGGCUCCGCCAUCCAGGAAUGAGUGGACUGGCAGACCCAGGCUCACACAUGCAAAUGUGUAGCCUCCCCUUGGAAGAAGUCACCUGGGAAGGGUGGGACCAAUUGCAACAAGACUAUGUGAACUAUAACUUGGGCUCUUGGCCUUUUUUUGGGUGCCAUGGACCCCUUAGGUUUCUGGGGAAGCCUAUGACCCCCUUUUCAGAAUAAUGUUUUUAAAUGAAUAAGAUAAAAUACAAAGGAUUUUAACAUAAACUGAUUAUACCAAAACGCAGCUUUCAACUUAAGUACCCUGCGGCUGGACUGUGCAGGAGGCUGGUGGGGCUGGAGGGGAGAAGUGAAAGGGAGAGCAGCAGCAGGUGAGGGGAAAGGGGAGGUGGAGGGGGUCCAGCUCAUGCAGGUGCCAGUCCAGUGACCUGGGCUGUUACCCAGAGUGAGAUGGGAAGCCAUUGGAAGGUUUGAGCAGAGUGCUCCCAGCAUCACUGCUAGGUGAAUACAAUCCUUCCCAUUUUCAAAUAAGAGAAGUGCAGCCCAGGAAAUCUAAGUGCCUUGGCUAGUGGAAGGCCUCCCACCACCUCCCCCACCCCUAGCCCAUGACUCAGAGAAGGGUCAGAAUAUUCCUGACUCCCCUCUGCCCCUUCCAGAGGGCAUUUGUCAUUUCAUGGAUUGUCUACCACUCCGUGUCCCCACUCCCUGCUGUAUCCACCAAUUCUGCCACUUAACUUAUUGAGCACCUACUAUGUCCCAGGUACUCUUUUAGAUGCUGAGAAUAAAGUAAUGAAUAUGAGAAGUCAGCCCUUGUUAGUGGGUGGGGGAGACAGGUAAGUAGGAAAAUAAAAAAAGAAAAUAUUUUUUAGUAAUAAGAGCCAUGCAGAGAGAAUAGAGUGGCUGCUUUAUAGAAGCUGUGUAGGGAAGCCUCUCUGAAGAGGUGACAUUUAAAUUGAGAUCUGAGGAGAACAUUCCAGGCAGAGGGAGGUCUGUGAGCAAAGGCACAAGUGUAAAGGAGCUUGGCAUGUUAGAGGAACCGGAGGCAGAAUAAUAGAGAAUAAUGAUCUAGGGAGGGGGCAGGGGCCGAGGGUGGCAGCACAGGGGCCAGUUCAGGAAGGGCCUUGUAGGUUAUGAGCUCAUGGGAAUCCACAGCAGUGUUUGCAGCAGGAAAGGAAACAAUCUGAUGUUUUAAGAUCAUGCUGGUUUCCAUAUGAAGAAUAGAUUGGUGGGGGAAGGGAGAAGGGAGAAAGUGAAAAGAUUUAGGAUACAGUUCAAGAUCUAGUCAAUGAGACAGGGCGAUGUAUUAAAUGGAGGGGGUGAGGGAAAGAGAGGAUUCGAUGAUGGUCUCUAACUUUUCAAGCCCUGGCUUGAGCGACUGCAUGGAUGGUGAUACAACUUGCAGAGCUGAGGAAGGCUUUAGGGAAGCAACUUGGAGGAAGAGGUCAAGUGUUCUGUUAUGGACAUGUGUUCUCAGAGCUUCAGAAUCGGACUUUGGUUCACAUUGAACCCUGGCUCUGCUACUUACUAGCUUGACCUUGAACAAGUUAUUAAACCUUCUGAAACCUCAGUUUCCUCACCUGCAGAAUGAAGAGAGCAACAAUCCCUAUUCCAAAGGGCCAUUGUGAAGAUUAUACUAAGGCAUGUAAUGUCCCUGGUGUUCUGUAAAUUAGCGGCUGUUGUCCUAGUUGAAGCAUGAGGUAGACCCCAAGAGGGCAAGCCUGAAGAGAAACUUCAGAGGGCAGUCCCAGAGGGUGGGCCAGUGUAGCCAGGCUGUUGUGUGACAGGCGGUAAGGGCUAGUGGUUAGGUGUCACCUUCUUGAGUCAAACUGUCUGGGUUCAUAAUCCUGGCUAAGCCACUUACUAGCUUACUUAACCUCUGUGUGCCCCAGAGAUGUUGUAAAUUAUUAUUAUUAUGUAAUUUCCAAAACAGGGAUAAUAAUAACCUACCUUGUAGGGCUGUUGUGAAGGAUUAGAUGAGAUAAUCCAUGAAAAGGGCCUGGCUCAUACUAAAGGCUCAGUAAGUGUUAGCAGCUAUUAGCACAAGGAUGUAGGAAGGAGGGGGCUGCACAUGGACUUCAGCUGUGCCUUGACCUCCUUCCAGAGAAGACAGUCUUCAGCCCAAGCCGUUGUCAAACAGCUCUGCUCUCCCAACACUGGGCUACUCCUCCCCAGCUGUGGCUGAUUAUACCAAAAUGCAGCUAUCAAGAUAGUGAAAUCAAGGACCAGAGAGAAGUUUGCUGUCCAAGGCCACACAGCAAGUUAUUGCUGGUACACUUGAGAAAGUAUGUGAGUUGGCAGGUCAAUGGUUAUGGAGCUGGUAUUGAUUAACAGCUUUCUGUGGAGAAAGUGAAGGUUCCUAUGGCCAGGAUUCUCACCUGGCCCUGGUCAGCUUGCUCACUACACGCCUGUGGACAAUAAGUUUUUACUGACUCUAUAUAAAGAGCUCUGCCCAGUGCUCUGGGUUUUACAGCUGCAGGAGAGCAGAGACGAGGCCGGAGUGUGGCAGCGCCAAGGACAGAAACUGAGACGGCUGCAGGGUCAUAGAGGCCAGAGGCAGAGACCGGCUUGCUGCAUGCAGACUUGCUCUGAGUGGGCAGGAUUCUAGUGAUUGACCUGCCACUGGGAAUAAAGUUGUGUAUAAACCCUUUCGC